rnacentral:rRNA from 1 species
UACGUAGGGUGCAAGCGUUGUCCGGAAUUAUUGGGCGUAAAGAGCUCGUAGGCGGCCUGUCGCGUCGGAUGUGAAAAUCCAAGGCUCAACCUUGGACCUGCAUUCGAUACGGGCAGGCUAGAGUUCGGUAGGGGAGACUGGAAUUCCUGAUGUAGCGGUGAAAUGCGCAGAUAUCAGGAGGAACACCAGUGGCGAAGGCGGCUCACUGGCCCGGUACUGACGCUGAGGUGCGAAAGCGUGGGGAGCAAACAGG